rnacentral:rRNA from 1 species
UACGUAGGGUGCAAGCGUUGUCCGGAAUUAUUGGGCGUAAAGAGCUCGUAGGCGGUCUGUCGCGUCUGCUGUGAAAACUCAGGGCUUAACCCUGAGCUUGCAGUGGGUACGGGCAGACUAGAGUGCGGUAGGGGAGACUGGAAUUCCUGGUGUAGCGGUGAAAUGCGUAGAUAUCGGGAGGAACACCUGUGGCGAAGGCGGCCCCCUGGUUGGAUACUGACGCUGAUACGCGAAAGCGUGGGGAGCAAACAGG